rnacentral:misc_RNA from 1 species
UUGGUCGACCAAUGCAAUUGAAGCUUCAUAUCAACAGAAAAGAUUCAAUAAGGAAAUCUAAAAGAUUUUUGGUAUUGUCAAACCAGCAAAAGCACAGUUGUAAAGAAAAAGGUUCCAUUUCCAACCUUAAGCCCAGAAAUUGGUAUAUCUGAUUACAAUCAAAAAAGAGAAGGGGGAGAAUAAAAAAUGCCCUGCUUGUUUCCAGCCACCCACUGAGAAAAGAGAAUUUCCAACAAAAUGACAGGGAGAAAGCAGCAAAGGCAAGCAUAUUUAAAUUAAAAUUCAAACCAUCCCCACUUUACAAAAAAACAAAAAAAUUACUAUGAAUCGAUCAAAACUUAACAAUCAAUCAAAUAUAAAAGGG